GAGGUUGUGGCUCAGUGGCUGAGUGCUCGCCUAGCAUGCAUGGCGCACUGAGUUCGAUCCUCAGCACCACA
rnacentral:tRNA from 1 species